ACUCAAAGGAAUUGACGGGGACCCGCACAAGCGGUGGAGCGUGUGGUUUAAUUCGACAAUAAGCGAAGAACCUUACCAGGGCUUGACAUCCCGGGAACCUCUGAGAAAUCAGAGGGUGCCGCAAGGAGCCCGGUGACAGGUGCUGCAUGGCCGUCGUCAGCUCGUGUCGUGAGAUGUUGGGUUAAGUCCCGCAACGAGCGCAACCCUUGUCGUGUGUUGUAUUUUUCACGCGAGACUGCCUCGGUCAACGAGGAGGAAGGUGGGGAUGACGUCAGGUCAGCAUGGCCCUUAUGCCCUGGGCGACACACGCGCUACAAUGGCCGGUACAAUGGGUCGCGAAAUCGCGAGAUGGAGCUAAUCCCACUCAAAACCGGUCCCAGUUCGGAUUGGAGUCUGCAACUCGACUCCAUGAAGCCGGAAUCGCUAGUAAACGCGGAUCAGCCACGCUGCGUUGAAUACGUUCUCGGGUCUUGUACACACCGCCCGU
rnacentral:rRNA from 1 species